UCGAGUGGCGAACGGGUGAGUAACACGUGGGUGAUCUGCCCUGCACUUUGGGAUAAGCCUGGGAAACUGGGUCUAAUACCGAAUAUGACCGCGCACUUCCUGGUGUGUGGUGGAAAGCUUUUGCGGUGUGGGAUGGGCCCGCGGCCUAUCAGCUUGUUGGUGGGGUAAUGGCCUACCAAGGCGACGACGGGUAGCCGGCCUGAGAGGGUGACCGGCCACACUGGGACUGAGAUACGGCCCAGACUCCUACGGGAGGCAGCAGUGGGGAAUAUUGCACAAUGGGCGCAAGCCUGAUGCAGCGACGCCGCGUGAGGGAUGACGGCCUUCGGGUUGUAAACCUCUUUCAAUAGGGACGAAGCGCAAGUGACGGUACCUAUAGAAGAAGGACCGGCCAACUACGUGCCAGCAGCCGCGGUAAUACGUAGGGUCCGAGCGUUGUCCGGAAUUACUGGGCGUAAAGAGCUCGUAGGUGGUUUGUCGCGUUGUUCGUGAAAACUCACAGCUUAACUGUGGGCGUGCGGGCGAUACGGGCAGACUAGAGUACUGCAGGGGAGACUGGAAUUCCUGGUGUAGCGGUGGAAUGCGCAGAUAUCAGGAGGAACACCGGUGGCGAAGGCGGGUCUCUGGGCAGUAACUGACGCUGAGGAGCGAAAGCGUGGGGAGCGAACAGGAUUAGAUACCCUGGUAGUCCACGCCGUAAACGGUGGGUACUAGGUGUGGGUUUCCUUCCUUGGGAUCCGUGCCGUAGCUAACGCAUUAAGUACCCCGCCUGGGGAGUACGGCCGCAAGGCUAAAACUCAAAGAAAUUGACGGGGGCCCGCACAAGCGGCGGAGCAUGUGGAUUAAUUCGAUGCAACGCGAAGAACCUUACCUGGGUUUGACAUGCACAGGACGCCAGUAGAGAUAUUGGUUCCCUUGUGGCCUGUGUGCAGGUGGUGCAUGGCUGUCGUCAGCUCGUGUCGUGAGAUGUUGGGUUAAGUCCCGCAACGAGCGCAACCCUUG
rnacentral:rRNA from 1 species